rnacentral:rRNA from 1 species
AUUGAACGCUGGCGGCAGGCUUAACACAUGCAAGUCGAGCGGGGAAGGGUAGCUUGCUACCUGACCUAGCGGCGGACGGGUGAGUAAUGCUUAGGAAUCUGCCUAUUAGUGGGGGACAACAUUCCGAAAGGAAUGCUAAUACCGCAUACGCCCUACGGGGGAAAGCAGGGGAUCUUCGGACCUUGCGCUAAUAGAUGAGCCUAAGUCAGAUUAGAUAGUUGGUGGGGUAAAGGCCUAUCAAGGCGACGAUCUGUAGCGGGUCUGAGAGGAUGAGCCACCACACUGGGCCAGGAACACGGCCCAGACUCCGACGGGAGGCAGCAGUGGGGAAUAUUGGACAAUGGGCGAAAGCCUGAUCCAGCCAUGCCGCGUGUGUGAAGAAGGCCUUUUGGUUGUAAAGCACUUUAAGCGAGGAGGAGGCUACUUGGAUUAAUACUCUAGGAUAGUGGACGUUACUCGCAGAAUAAGCACCGGCUAACUCUGUGCCAGCCGCCGCAGUAA